GAUGAACGCUGGCGGCGUGCCUAAUACAUGCAAGUCGAGCGAACAGAUGAGGAGCUUGCUCCUCUGACGUUAGCGGCGGACGGGUGAGUAACACGUGGAUAACCUACCUAUAAGACUGGGAUAACUUCGGGAAACCGGAGCUAAUACCGGAUAAUAUAUUGAACCGCAUGGUUCAAUAGUGAAAGACGGUUUUGCUGUCACUUAUAGAUGGAUCCGCGCCGCAUUAGCUAGUUGGUAAGGUAACGGCUUACCAAGGCAACGAUGCGUAGCCGACCUGAGAGGGUGAUCGGCCACACUGGAACUGGAACACGGUCCAGACUCCUACGGGAGGCAGCAGUAGGGAAUCUUCCGCAAUGGGCGAAAGCCUGACGGAGCAACGCCACGUGAGUGAUGAAGGUCUUCGGAUCGUAAAACUCUGUUAUUCGGGAAGAACAAAUGUGUAAGUAACUAUGCACGUCUUGACGGUACCUGAUCAGAAAGCCACGGCUAACUACGUG
rnacentral:rRNA from 1 species